AGAAAACCCAAGAGAAUAUUUAAUCUCUGUGUUGGAAUGUAUGAGAAUUGCUAAAGAAACAAAUGUAGCUUUUCCUUACUUUAUGGAUAACUCUAACAUCACGGCCAUGUUUGAGAUGCUGGACAAUUCAGGCAAAGGCACCAUAUCAUUUGUACAGUACAAAGAAGGUUAGUAUUUUCUAUAAAUUGAAGGAAUAAUUUAUGAUCAUUUCAUAACUUUCUCUAGUUGAAAAGAAUCCUCAUUUUGCAAAUUUUCAUUUCUUCUCAUUCUGAUGUUUACAGCACUAAAAACCCUGGGUCUAUGUGAUGCAGAUGAAGAUUUAAAGGAUGAUGGACAUAUAAUAAAUCUGAAUAGGUUCAAGGAGGAAGUGUAAGUCUAUCUUUUAAAUAAUGAUUUUAAUAAUGUAGCAUGAUUUUCAAGUAUUUAUUAUUAUAAAUUCUGUUGCAAAUGGGUUCCUCCCUUUUGAGAAAAACCUUUCAUUUCCCUGAAACUUGCAGCAACUAGAAAGUGAGGACAGGUGCAUGCGUAUACUCCCAGCAACUUGGGAGUCUGAGGCAGGAGGAUACCAAGUUCAAAGCCAGCCUCAGGAAUUUAUCGAGGCCUUGUCUAAAAAAAUUAAAAAAGGGCUUGGAUAUGGCUCAGUGGUUAAGUGCCCCUGGGUUCAAUCCCUGGUACAAAAAAAAAAAAAAAAAGAAAAGAAAAAGAAAAGAAAGAAGAAAGAAGGAAGGAAGGACAGGCAAGGAAUGUUCCCUUCUGGGAAAUGCUGGAGUUAGGAUGUUCCAGAGGCAAUUUCAUUCUUUCCUCAAGGAAACCUCAGCAAUUCUCAAAGGAUGACAGAAACCUAGUCUGCUAAAACUAACAGAAGAGCUUUGAGCUCAACACACUAGUUGAAAAGUUUCUGUACACAGUAAUAGAAUUUAUCUCAAAACUUACUUAUUGUAAAGUAAAUGUUUAUCAAUAGUGUAAUACACAUUAGCCUGACAGUUUUAGAUUUGAGAUAUUAUAACCAGUGUUGAAAGUACUAAAUGCUCUGUCAGGAAAACUAUUGUAAUAAAAUUUGAUAUUUGUAGAAAGGUUCUAGUUAAUUUAGCUCAAUUUGUUUGCAAGUUUUACUCUCUGAGGAUUUACUGAUCAAGAAACCAUUAUUCAGGGCUGGAGUUGUGGCUUAGUGGUAGAGCACUUGCCUGGCAUGUGUGAGGCCCAGGGUUCAAUCCUCAGUACCACAUAUAAAUAAAUAAAUAAAAUAAAAGAUCCAAUGGCAACUAAAAAAAUAUUUAAAAAAAAGAGAAAGAAACCACUAUUUAGUAUAGCCCAAAGCCAAGGAAAAGUCAGAAGAAAAAAGAAAGUGCAAUAUUUUUGUCACACCAGUGACAAAAAUAUUAAACAAAAAUGUUUAAUUACAUCUUCUACCAUAGGGGAAAGACUGAGGCAGCAUGCUCUAGCCUAAAAUGUUUCAUCCAGAGAGAAAAAGUUUCCACUGUCACAAAGAAUGGAACUAAGUAUUUUAUUUAUUUAUUUGUGGCUAGGGAAUGAACCUACAGUCUUUCACUUGCUCCAAGAGUAUUUUAAAUGGAAAGAUAGUUACAGAACAUGAAGAAUAAUCCUAGCUAAUUCACCAUCUCAUAAUUUGUUUUCUCAUGGAAAUAUACUGAAUUCACAAACUGGGUACAGGAACCUCAAUGAUAAACAUGCAUUCUUAAGUGACUUUAAAAAAAUUUAUUGGUUAUGUUUGAUUAUCCACAAAAGUUUCCUUUAGCACAGGAAGUUGAAAGUUAUAAUUUCUUUGCUUUUGUAUUUUAUUCAACAUAUAUAUUCAGCAUUUAUAUUUGUAAAUGGAGUUAUUCUGAGUUUCCACAGUUUUCUGUUUUUGGUUUUCUUAGGAACAAGAGGACUCGGGAAA
rnacentral:lncRNA from 1 species